UUUUUCCAAGAAGAGGUUGCAUAGUUGUUACUUUCCCUCACCACUGGAUAGCCAUUCAACUCUAUGGAAUAGGGAAAUUCUUUUCCCAUCUUCAAUUUUUGCCCACACUUUUACCCAAAGGAUGAAGACGUUGUAACUCGAACCAUCAUCGUUCUCCUUCGGUGUCACUGAGUUGCAAGCGAAAGUGACGACCAAGUGCUUCUUUGAUGUUGAAAUCGAUGGAGAGAACAGAUAUGGUUUCAAAGGAUGCUCCUUUCACCGUAUUAUUAAAGAUAUCAUGAUCCAGGGUGGUGAUUUUACUAAUGGAAAUGGAAGCCCUCUCUUUCUUUCCCAUUUUCCUUUGGCUUUCUAAAUAAAUAAAUUUCCAUUACUAAGUAGAAAAUUGGUGCUGCAGGGAACUAGUGGAAUGAGUAUUUAGGAUCCAAGUUUGAAGAUAAGAGCUUUGCUUCAUGUUGGACCCAGAGUAUUAACCAUAGCCAAUACAAGUCCUAAUACCAAUGGGAACCAAUUCUUUAUUUACACAGUAAAGCAUACACGUAGGCUUCAUAUAUUUUUUGUGUAAAUUUGACAUGGUGGCUGCUGGUGAGCCCUGAGGCAUGGUUGACUGAUAUUUUCCAAGAAAGAUAUGAAGUUAGGGAAAAGAAGAGUUCUAAGAAGACCAAGAGGAUUGAAGGCCAUGGGGAGUAUGGAAAGUGAUUCAGAUUGAAGAUACAUCAAUGGCAGCAAUAGAGUCUUUUUUCUUUUUUGAUAUUUUUUGGGGAAUAUUUUUGGAGUUGAUGUUAAUGGGUUGGGAAAAAAUAUAGAGAAAUUGGAACAGGGGUCUACCUGUUGGGGUUUGUUUGGUGUAUAGAUGUUUGAUAUUUUUCAUAUAUAUAUAUAUAUAAAUGAGAAUAUUUAUUGUUUUUGGAUCAA